UCCCAUAUAUUAUAGAUGGGAUCCCCAGCACAAUGUCAGGAGCUGGAGCUCAUGGGGGCCUGAUUUGCAGCGGACCCGCCUCGUGUUUUAACCGCGGCUCUGCCGAACCAACCCGCUCUACGACCGCAUGAUUUAGCGAAGAACAGCAGCUUUAGUAUUAGCAGCUUAUCUGUAUUAGCGCCUGCUGCUGCGCCGUUUGCCCCCCCGCCCCCCGGGGUGGGUGUGCAUUGUCGACGCUGCUACUGUCUCUUUAAAUUUACCCAGGAGCCCCUUAAGGAGCCCCAGGGGCCCCUAGUCCGGCUCCCCACCCUGAAGACAAGCAAGAGCCUUAAAAUACAUUACUGGAGGCCUGUCGCUGAGGCGCUUCUACAGGGCGUUCGGAGGAGCGGGCGGUGUUCGCGGGCGGAUACGGGGCUUCUGUGAUUAUAUGAAAAGUUAACUUGGCUCCCGAGCGGGGCGCGUGGGGGGGUUGACAUCGUAGAGCACGGGCUCCUCUGCCAUGGGCUCGUUAUAGAGCGCCUGCCAGAUGCGUGUCGAACGGUGCCGAGCGGUGUGGACAGUUGAGUGACAUGUCCCGCUUCAACGUUACGACACAGUGAGGGAAGGAAGGAGGGACGGUAGCCACGAGUGAAGCAGCGGCCAGGCCAGUGAUGGAAGAGAAAGACACGGGGGGAAGCGAGCCCGUGGACCUCCGGUGUGCCGAGCAGGCUGAGCUGCUCUCAUUAAUAAUAAGCGGGGAGGAGGAAGCGACGCAAGAGGAGAGUGACUUGGGAGAGGAGGACGGCCUCGCCAAUGGCCACGGUGAGGAGGAAUCAGAGGCCGGCAUGGUCACACCUGUCAGGUCUCCAGGCACCAGCUACUGGAGCAUCACAGAGGGCCCGGACCACCCGCUCCUCCUCUCCCCAGCCCCUGGACCCUCCGGACGUAAACCCAGGGUCCAGAGGGCCUCGCGUCCCGGCCUGAGCCGCAUCCCGGGCCGUGACCACCGUCGCUAUUACCAUGAGUACUGGCGCAGCGAGUACCUGAUGGACUUUGACCCCCAGCGGCACGGGAUGAUCUGCAUGGUGUGCGGCAGCUCGUUGGCCACCCUGAAGCUCAGCACCAUCAAGAGGCACAUCCGACAGAAGCACCCUGACUCCCUGCUGUGGAGCGCCGCCGACAAGGAGGUCAUCCGCUCGGGGUGGGAGAGCCACCUGAGCCUGGGGGGAGGUCAGAGGUCAUACAGUUCUGCUGCUGGGCCCUCACCUAAGAAAGAAGAAGAGCACCUGGACUCAGACCAGCAUGCUGCUGCAGAACCUCCAUACCCUGUGACACCCAAGGAGCAGCAACAACAACCUCUCAGUCUGUCCCCCCACUCUGAGGAAGGUGAAGCCCCCCGGCCCGAAGAAGAGGAGCAGGACCUCCCUGGGCCAUCAGCCCGGACCCUAGAGCGCUACCUGAACGACUCGCUGCACGCCUGGUUCCGCCAGGAGUUUCUGAUGGAGUACGAGGCGGAGGCCGGCCGGCUGCUGUGCAUGGUGUGCGGAGGAGAACUGCCCUCGCUUCACCUGGACCACAUCAAGAGCCACGUGCUGGACACCCACCCCAACUCCUUGGUUUACAGCUCCGAGGAGAAGCACUGCAUCCUGCAGGCCUGGGCUCAGACUCAUGAAGAGUCAGAAAACUCAAUCAAAUCAGAGCCCAACACCAAAGAUGGCGGGGUGGACCUCUUUGCUCAGGAUGUGGAGGCCAUCCAGAUCAACGCUGACUUGUACCCAGAAGGUGAUGGCACUUUAACUCAGGACACCUGUCUUAUCGGUGAGGAUGGCGGUGUUGGAGCUCCGCAGCAGGGACCCCAGCCCCUCCGCCAGCCCAGGAAGAGGCGGCUGCGUGGGGGUGACCCCUGGCGACUCCGUCUCGACUACCUGGUGGCCUACGGGCCCCAGGGCCAGGGGACGUUCUGCAUGGUGUGUUCUCAGGUGCUGCACGAAUCCAAGGUCAGCAGCUUCCGACGCCACAUCCAAGAAUGUCACCCCGAGACCACGACACUGAGCCGACAAGAAAGGGAAGCCAUGGCAGCUGCCUGGACCAAAGAUUAUUCUAGUGAAGGCACACACAUUCAAGAUGCAGAAAUAAACUCGAGCGGAGAAGAUGUGCUAAACACCACAGGAGAGAUGAACGAGGACGCCUCCCCCGAUGUCAGAUCACCCAGCAAAAUGGUGAAGAAGGAAGAGGGCGUGAGCGGAAGCAAGGGUAAAGCAAGGGAAGGCGCCGCUGCAGCCACGCCCUCUCGUCACGGCCAUUACCCCGGGAAGGACCAGAGGAGGAACUACCAGGUGCGCUGGCGGAUGGAGUACCUGAUGGAUUACGACUGCCGCAGACACGGGCUAAUCUGCAUGGUGUGCGGAGCCACCCUGGCCACGCUGAAGGUCAGCACCAUCAAGAGGCACAUCCAGCAGGUACACCCACACUCUCUGGACUACAGUGCGGAGGAGAAGCAGCAGGCCCUGCUGAGCUACAACCAGACUGCGCUGCACUUCAUCCACUCCGAUGACUGCUUUUCCUCCCAGGACCACGGGCACACCGAGCUGGCUCCAGCUCCAGCACACUUUGGCACUUAGAAAGGGCUUCCGUCCGUUGCUCCUCACACGGCCCCUGAUCAGAAACAGCCCUCCGCCCGCUUUCUUAAAGGGAAAUUCAAUUUCCAUCGUUGCUACACCGGCCUGCAUCCUUUUCAUCCUCUACAACUCAUUUUAGGUAAAACUGCACAAAAAAGAAUAUGUAAAUAUAUGAAAAAAAAUAAUUAUUUUUCCUUUAUACAAGCACUUUUAUGCACCCUGGUUUCUACAAAACGUGUUUGUAAUUAUGUCCAGUUUUUCUACUUCAGAGAAGAUUUCAGCAAUGAUGAUCUUACACGGCUGGAGAGCGGCUGGUUGGACGUUUGCUUUGAAAAGUUUGCUCCAGUCUCGGUACUGUUCAUUUCUCCAUUCACUGUACAGAGUGUGUGCAACAAAAGAAGUUGAAGAAAAACUUUCAGCUGUCUAAGAAAGAAAAGUCUGCGAUAAAAUGUCACUUCUUCACCGGGAAAAUGUAACUCAGGGAUUCUGUUUUCAUCAGCAACCAUUUCAUCAGUGAUCUUGGCUGUUGACAUUUGAAGAUACUGGAUACAUGUGUCAGCUGUGGUUGUAUAGGUGAUGCUAUAAAUACGACAGAGUAUUAGGGCCACUGUUGAAGCAAAAACAAACAAAAAACAGAGAUUUUGUUCAAAUAUCUUGUAAAUUAUAAAUAUUAGAAUUAGGUUGUAAUUUUCAGGUAUAGCCAUAAUAUAUGAAAAAAGUCAGUAUUUCAGUGUUGAUUUUCAAAUAAAGUUGUGAUUUGGAAAAAAAAAUGCUAAUAUUUUGAGAAAAAAAGUAAUUAUAUUUGAAGGAAAUGGUCAUGCUAGAGUGCAAUUGGAUUUUGAGGAAAAAGAUCAAUACGAGAAAAGACAAAAGACGGAAUUAACGUAUUUAUAUUUAAUUUAAUAUUUUGACAUAAAGUUGUCAUUUUAGAGGAAAGAAGAAAAACUAAAACAUGCACAUAUAAUUUUAUCGACGGAAUCCACUUUUUAGGUGGUAGCGGCUCCAGUGCAUGCCGCAAAAAAUUCCAAAAACAAAGCCCCAGUGUCCCUAUUACUCUGUUGUACAUUGACAGAAUUUGCUCAGUUGAAGCUUUUGAUACUGAUGUAACAGUGAAGGACAAGCAGCACUGUGACAGCACAGAAACGGUGUCAUAUUCCCACUUUAUUGGUUCACUUUGGCUUAGAAUAGGCCCCCACAUCGCUCUAGAAGAGUUCUGGCAUAGCACUUAAUUAUUUAAAAUGAAGUAAGUUACAGUGAAAUGAAUGAUAAAACAUUUGCUUGUGUGUGUGUGUGUGUGUGUGUGUGUGUGUGUGUGUGUGUGUGUGUGUGUGUGUGUGUGUGUGUGUGUGUGUGUGUGUGUGUGUGUGUGUGUUUAUACUGUGUAUGAUGGUGUGGGGAGAGACCUGCUCCUCAUUUUUCUUCACUUUCACCUUUCAUCUGUACAUGGCCAACAUGUGACAUAUGCAUUCUCUCCUCAAUGAUCUUUGAAUAAAUACUCAACACCAUGAAA